GACGAACGCUGGCGGCGUGCUUAACACAUGCAAGUCGAACGGAAAGGCCUCUUUCGGGGGGUACUCGAGUGGCGAACGGGUGAGUAACACGUGAGUAACCUGCCCUUGACUUUGGGAUAACUUCAGGAAACUGGGGCUAAUACCGGGUAGGAGCUCCUGCUGCAUGGUGGGGGUUGGAAAGUUUCGGCGGUUGGGGAUGGACUCGCGGCUUAUCAGCUUGUUGGUGGGGUAGUGGCUUACCAAGGCUUUGACGGGUAGCCGGCCUGAGAGGGUGACCGGCCACAUUGGGACUGAGAUACGGCCCAGACUCCUACGGGAGGCAGCAGUGGGGAAUAUUGCACAAUGGGUGGAAGCCUGAUGCAGCAACGCCGUGUGCGGGAUGACGGCCUUCGGGUUGUAAACCGCUUUCGCUCAUGACGAAGCUUUGUGUGACGGUAGUGGGUAAAGAAGCACCGGCUAACUACGUG
rnacentral:rRNA from 1 species